rnacentral:hammerhead_ribozyme from 1 species
AUCCAGCUGACGAGUCCCAAGUAGGACGAAAUGUGCAUCCUGGAU